rnacentral:lncRNA from 1 species
UGUUUGGCUGAUCUGGAAGUAUAGGAAUGAGAGUAGGUUUGAGAACAAGAAUUGGGAGGUGUCCAAUCUUGUUAAUGAGGUCAAAGGGAGGCUUUGGAGUUGGAACAAAAUCUUCCAUGUUGUCGAGUUCAAUGUUUCUUUUACUUUGUGGUGCUCUAACGAGUUCGCACCACUUGUUUGAUGUUUUUGGUACUCCUAGUACCACCCCAG